AGGCCAGUGGCUCAUUGGUAGAGCGUUUGACUGAAUAACCAAAGAUUGCGGGUUCGAAUCCCAGUUAGUCCA
rnacentral:tRNA from 1 species